rnacentral:rRNA from 1 species
GAUGAACGCUGGCGGCGUGCCUAAUACAUGCAAGUCGAGCGAACAGACGAGGAGCUUGCUCCUCUGACGUUAGCGGCGGACGGGUGAGUAACACGUGGAUAACCUACCUAUAAGACUGGGAUAACUUCGGGAAACCGGAGCUAAUACCGGAUAAUAUAUUGAACCGCAUGGUUCAAUAGUGAAAGACGGUGUUGCUGUCACUUAUAGAUGGAUCCGCGCCGCAUUAGCUAGUUGGUAAGGUAACGGCUUACCAAGGCAACGAUGCGUAGCCGAACUGAGAGGGUGAUCGGCCACACUGGAAGUGGGACACGGACCAGGGGACUACGGGAGGCAGCAGUAGGGAAUCUUACGCAAUGGGCGAAAGCAUGACGGAGCAACGGCGCGUGAGUGAUGACGGUCUUCGGAUCGUGAAACUCUGUUACUAGGGAAGAACAAAUGUGGACGUAACUAUGCACGUCUUGACGGUACCUAAUAAGAAAGCAACGGCUAACUACGUG